rnacentral:rRNA from 1 species
GAUGAACGCUGGCGGCGUGCCUAAUACAUGCAAGUCGAGCGAACAGACGAGGAGCUUGCUCCUCUGACGUUAGCGGCGGACGGGUGAGUAACACGUGGAUAACCUACCUAUAAGACUGGGAUAACUUCGGGAAACCGGAGCUAAUACCGGAUAAUAUAUUGAACCGCAUGGUUCAAUAGUGAAAGACGGUUUUGCUGUCACUUAUAGAUGGAUCCGCGCCGCAUUAGCUAGUUGGUAAGGUAACGGCUUACCAAGGCGACGAUGCGUAGCCGACCUGAGAGGGUGAUGAGGCAAAAGGGAACUGAGACACGGGCAAGAAUCCUACGGGAGGAAGCAGUGGGGAGGAUUGGAAAAUGGGCGAAAGCCGGAGAAAGCCAUGCAGCGUGUGUGAAGAAGGUCUUCGGAUUGUAAAGCACUUUAAGUGGGGAGGAAGAAAAGUAAGUGAAUAAAUGCCUGUCUUGACGUGACCAACAGAAUAAGCAACGGCUAACUUCGUG